rnacentral:ncRNA from 1 species
GUGCAAAGAUUUCCUCGGGCCGGACGGAGAUUGGCCCUCGAGUGCAAAGGCAGAAGGAAGCUUGACUGCAAGACCCACCCGUCGAGCAGGGACGAAAAUCGGCCUUAGUGAUCCGAUGGUGCGGAGUGGAAGGACCGUCGCUCAAC